rnacentral:rRNA from 1 species
CAAUAGCGUAUAUUAAAGUUGUUGCAGUUAAAAAGCUCGUAGUUGGAUUUCUGGUGGAAGUGACCGGUCUGUCCCUAGUGGAUGUGAACUUGUGUCUACUUUUGCCAUCCUUGGGGAGAGCGUGCCUGGCAUUAGGUUGUCGGGUUCGGGAUCCCCAUCCUUUACUGUGAAAAAAUUAGAGUGUUUAAAGCAGGCUUAUGCCAUUGAAUACAUUAGCAUGGAAUAAUAAGAUAGGACUUUGGUGGUCUAUUUUGUUGGUUUGCACACCAAGGUAAUGAUUAAUAGGGAUAGUUGGGGGUAUCCGUAUUUCGUAGUCAGAGGUGAAAUUCUUGGAUUUACGAAAGACGAACUACUGCGAAAGCAUUUACCAAGGAUGUUUUCAUUAAUCAAGAACGAAAGUUAGGGGAUCGAAGAUGAUUAGAUACCAU